CUGCUCAGUAACACGUGGACAACCUGCCCUUAGGACGGGGAUAAACCCGGGAAACUGGGUAUAAUACCCGAUAGGUCUCGAUUGCUGGAAUGCAUCGAGAUUUAAAGCUCCGGCGCCUAAGGAUGGGUCUGCGGCCUAUCAGGUAGUAGUGGGUGUAGCGUACCUACUAGCCUACGACGGGUACGGGUUGUGAGAGCAAGAGCCCGGAGAUGGAUUCUGAGACACGAAUCCAGGCCCUACGGGGUGCAGCAGGCGCGAAAACUUUACAAUGCUGGCAACAGCGAUAAGGGAACCUCGAGUGCCAGGUUACAAAUCUGGCUGUCGAGAUGCCUAAAAAGCAUUUCAUAGCAAGGGCCGGGCAAGACCGGUGCCAGCCGCCGCGGUAACACCGGCGGCUCGAGUGGUAACCGUUAUUAUUGGGUCUAAAGGGUCUGUAGCCGGCCGGAUAAGUCUCUUGAGAAAUCUGGCAGCUUAACUGUCAGGCUUUCAGGAGAUACUGUCUGGCUCGAGGCCGGGAGAGGUGAGAGGUACUUCAGGGGUAGGGGUGAAAUCUUGUAAUCCUUGAAGGACCACCAGUGGCGAAGGCGUCUCACCAGAACGGACCUGACGGCAAGGGACGAAAGCUAGGGGCACGAACCGGAUUAGAUACCCGGGUAGUCCUAGCCGUAAACGAUACUCGCUAGGUGUCGGCCACGGUGCGACCGUUGUCGGUGCCGUAGGGAAGCCGUGAAGCGAGCCACCUGGGAAGUACGGCCGCAAGGCUGAAACUUAAAGGAAUUGGCGGGGGAGCAC
rnacentral:rRNA from 1 species